CUAGGUGAAAUCUCUCUAGGUGCAAGUUUGGGGUGUUGGACUGCCAUUGCCUGCUGGGAUAUCUGCAGAGGGAGAGCAUUUGGGCAAUGAGGAACAGACCGGCACCGAGCAGGCUGUAAGCCUAAAUCAAAGAUGCAAAUCAGGAUCAAUGUAUUGCAUUGAUCAGAGAGGGUUUUUUUGAGAGCCCCAGGUCUCCAGUGGCUAUGAAGAAGGCUGAGGCCAUUGCCAGAGGAGAUUUCUGUUCAUAAACCUGCCCAUUGGGUUUUUCCACCAGAGAGAAAAAAAUUUCAAGGUGGCAGGAAACAAUGUAUUCUGUCUUUAUAUCAACAUUCAGCUUGGAAUUGGCUUCAGGAUCUGGAGGAAAAGUUGCAAGGCAGUCCUGAUGCAGCUGAUAUGCUUAUUUGAAGAUGGCACACCUCUCUAAAGAGUGAGUUUAGACCUUUUGGCUU
rnacentral:lncRNA from 1 species